UACUCGAGUGGCGAACGGGCGAGUAACACGUGGGUGAUCUGCCCUGCACUUCGGGAUAAGCUUGGGAAACUGGGUCUAAUACCGGAUAGGACCGCACUUUAGUGUGUGUGGUGGAAAGUUUUUUCGGUGUAGGAUGAGCUCGCGGCCUAUCAGCUUGUUGGUGGGGUAAUGGCCUACCAAGGCGGCGACGGGUAGCCGGCCUGAGAGGGUGUACGGCCACAUUGGGACUGAGAUACGGCCCAG
rnacentral:rRNA from 1 species